CCUGGAUCAACCCGCAGUCCGAACGGGUAAUUAGGGUUCUUCGUGCAAGAAGAUGAGUUCGAUUCCGCGGUCGUGAUAUGAAGGGCAAUCAAAGCAUAUAUCGGUCCGAUCCGACCGUUAGUUGUAUAGCCAUGAUGCUGCAAGUCCCGAUUUUUGUUGCUUGGAUGCGAUUCUCGUAAUGGACCGUCUUGAAGUUCUCGGAGUCACUGCUUGAUUGGUAAUCUGAUAUGGAAUUGUUGUAUGGACCUCCUUUUGAUCAAUCAUCAAUGUGGGGCUCAUCGACAUCUCAUCCACUUUGGUUGCCUUUCUCCUUUGAUGAUGGAUGGUUCUUUCUUUUGCAAAUGGUAACCGGUGAAGAUGGGAUUCGAACUUUACUAUCGGCAUCUUCCUCAACCUUUGGUAAGUAGACUUGAGUACACAACCACUAUACCAAUGUUCUAGGUGUUCUUAUGUUCAUUUCAUAUUAAUGGUGUUAUUACUUUACCAAGAAGGCUUAUGACUUAAACGUGGAUCUAAGAGCAAUAAUCAUUACUUAAUUUGUACUGAAUCCAUACACAAUAACCAUCAGAUUUGGGUUGGAUAUUGGAUUUGAAUAUUUGUUCAUCUAUUUUAAUAUUUGAAUAUUUUUAUGCAAGUGUUGAUAAUAUUCAUAUAAGAUAGUGAACAUUAUUAUGCAAUUAUUUAUAUGUGUAGUUCCUUAAAAUUUUCCAACCUUGUUAUUUAUAUGUCAUAUCAUUCAUCAUUUAAGGAAGAAUUACCAGCUCACUAAAUACACAUGAUUUAUGUUUCCAUCGAAGAAGUCGGUCAUUACUCCAUUCAGUGUUCAUUCACAAGUUUUAUAAUCGUUAUUUUCAAAUGCCUAUUUUUUUUUUACUUUGGCAAAUGCCUUUUUCUAAGCCAACUAACCUCCUAUGACGUACUCAAAUUACCUUGCCUGCAUCCUUCCACAAUUAUAGCUAAAUAGGAUACAGUAUCAUCAUCUACUUUUUUAUUAUAUUUGUGGGUGUUUGACUGGGUACUUGACAAAGUGGGUGUAGAAAGCAUUAUUCAUUCAGUGGCUCACUCUUUUUUUUUUUUUUCUUUUCCAUUUGGUUGUUGGCUGUGGGAGGUGGGACUUGGGUGCUUGAUGGGUGGGUAGGGUGUGAAACAAGAUUCCGAGAGAGCCCAAGAUGCAUGAAUUGCCACUAUCCUCUGCUUUCAGUGAUGCUCAAGACAUACGUGGCCUUGAGAAUAAUCAGUAAUAUCUGAUGAUUCUUUUAGAAAGCUUGGUAAGAUAGCAACUAUAAAGUUAACUUCUGGAUGCUCAAGGCAUACAUGGCCUCGAGAAGAAUCAGAAAUAUCUGAUGAUUCUUUUAGAAAGCUUGGUAAGAUAGCAACUAUAAAGCUAAUUUCUGGAUGUCACAAUGAUUAGUUUGUCAUGUAUGAUGCAUGAAUAUGUUGAUAAGGAUGAUUUGUGGGACACAGUGCAUCUGUACAAGUAGAUUGUGACGUUUGUUGACCAUCGAGUAUAAAAUAAAUCAAAUUUGCUUCGAAAAAGAGUAUGCUAUACUUGUGGAUCGGAAUUUACCUUCUGCUUGAAGAGACUUGAGAUCAGAAACUGGAUAAGUUCAUAUCGAGUCAGCUCUGUUUUACUUUUGCCCAUGUGCAACCUAUCUCAGAUUUUUAAAUGUUAAUGUCAUCUUUCUGUCAGUGAGAAGAUACCUAGUGAGUUUAUUUUAAUAUAUUUGCUUUCUGAUAUAGGGUCUCGUGAUGGUUGACUAGAAUAUUGACUAGUUAAAGAGUGAAGGCAAAUUAAAGAAGUACAAAGCAAACUUAUUCACUAAAACAUUGUGGUUAUGAUGUCAUAUUAGCCUCAUGACUGAUAAAAGAUAUAUCUCGUUCUUUAUCUUGGAAGACAUUGAUGUUAUAUUUCAUGACUUUAUCUAGUGUAGAGUUUAGAAAAUUUCACCAUAUUAUCUUUUUCAUUAUUUAGACAUUGAUAUUCUAUUGAAUUUUGAAAAAUGUGUUCAAGAAAAUGUAUCCCAACAUUUUCCAAAUUGUAAGUUUAUUGUUCAUCAAGCAUUAGGAUUUUUUUGAUUGUUGAAUCUUUGAUUUCGAUGGAGUUCUGCUGUUUAAAACAAAUCUGACAUGUUUCCCCAACAUACUGUGGAUGGAAGUACAUUUUAGUGCGAAAUUGGACUUAAAAACUACUUAUGGUAAGAUUCGUCACUGCAUGUUUUUCUUAUUUAUCAAGUGAAACAACUGAUAUGCAUUAAUAUAUAAAGCAGGGUGCUUCAUUAUAUGUUAGUGGAAGUAUUUAUAACCUUAAAUGCAGCACGAUACAUGUUAACUAUUUUUAUUGUUUUUCUUAAAUGUUUAAAGCGGAAGUUCCUGGAACCAUCUUGAUUUGAUAUCUUGAGGUUUUGGGUCAUUUUUUCUCAAUUGGAUUCAAUACAUGUCCGCGAUCUAUGUAGGCAAAUUGAAACCUCCUACUAGAUCCUACAUUUAGAGUAAGAUAGACAUAAAUUUGUUCCUUCUUGUCUGUAAGCUGAUAAAUGAAUGCAUUUAUUUGUAAUACCAAAUAUUUAAGACAGGCGGUGAUGGCUAAGUAGAUGUGAAUAUUAAUCUUGAAAAUUUGCUAGUUCAGUCAUCUUCACAGGACAGAAAUAUUGUCCUUUUUGUUACUUUUAUCUAACCAACAACUUAUAAAAGAAAAUGAAUUCCAUAUUGCACUUUUAAUGGUUGCUUGUUACUAAUUUUUUAUCAGCAUGUUUGGAGUGCAUUCCAUGAUAUCUGUAGUUUGAAUGUAGGAAGAUUAGAAUGUGUUAUGUGUUGCAUUUGUGUGGUGUUUGUGCCUAGAAUGGAACUGGAUUUCUGUGGAAAAUUUUGCAGGCCCUAAUUUUGCCACCUUGCAACAACUGAGAUCAGGUUUAUCCAAUGCUUGCUGUUGGAAUCAUUUCCAAUCAUUAUUGUUUGAGAAGUUGAGAAUUUUCAAUUUUUCCAACAGUAUCCGUUGCAGAUUUGGCAUCUGAGUAUUUCCGUCCAGGUUAAGAUUCUGUUUUCAACAUUGGACAACGAUGUGUGGCAAGAAUCAUGAUGAUGAGACAAAUUAUGCUUUGCAUCCUGCAACUUUUGCUCCUUUAGCAUAGUAGUGGAUGGGACCAGGCACCCCAAAAACACCAAAACUGAAAACCAUUUGAGAGAGCUGUGGGAAAUGUUACUCCAUCCGACUCAUAUUGGAUAUGGAAUAAAGAUAGCAUAUCAAAAAUGUGUGUUCUCAUUCUCAUCUUUUCUUUUCCAUGUGCUUCAGGAGAUAAGGCAA